AUUGAACGCUGGCGGCAGGCCUAACACAUGCAUGUCGAACGGUAACAGGAAGCAGCUUGCUGCUUUGCUGACGAGUGGCGGACGGGUGAGUAAUGUCUGGGAAACUGCCCGAUGGAGGGGGAUAACUACUGGAAACGGUAGCUAAUACCGCAUAACGUCGCAAGACCAAAGAGGGGGACCUUAGGGCCUCUUGCCAUCGGAUGUGCCCAGAUGGGAUUAGCUAGUAGGUGGGGUAACGGCUCACCUAGGCGACGAUCCCUAGCUGGUCUGAGAGGAUGACCAGCCACACUGGAACUGAGACACGGUCCAGACUCCUACGGGAGGCAGCAGUGGGGAAUAUUGCACAAUGGGCGCAAGCCUGAUGCAGCCAUGCCGCGUGUAUGAAGAAGGCCUUCGGGUUGUAAAGUACUUUCAGCGGGGAGGAAGGGAGUAAAGUUAAUACCUGUGCUCAUUGACGUUACCCGCAGAAGAAGCACCGGCUAACUCCGUG
rnacentral:rRNA from 1 species